AUUGAACGCUGGCGGCAUGCUUUACACAUGCAAGUCGAACGGUAACAGGGUGCUUGCACCGCUGACGAGUGGCGAACGGGUGAGUAAUGCGUCGGAACGCACCGAGUAAUGGGGGAUAACGCAGCGAAAGCUGUGCUAAUACCGCAUACGCUCUGAGGAGGAAAGCGGGGGACCUUCGGGCCUCGCGUUAUUCGAGCGGCCGACGUCUGAUUAGCUAGUAGGUGAGGUAAGAGCUCACCUAGGCGACGGUCAGUAGCGGGUCUGAGAGGAUGCUCCGCCACACUGGGACUGAGACACGGCCCAGACUCCUACGGGAGGCAGCAGUGGGGAAUUUGGGACAAUGGGCGCAAGCCUGAUCCAGCCAUGCCGCGUGUCUGAAGAAGGCCUUCGGGUUGUAAAGGACUUUUGUCAGGGAGGAAAUCCUUAGCGCUAAUACCGUUGAGGGAUGACAGUACCUGAAGAAUAAGCACCGGCUAACUACGUGCCAGCAGCCGCCGUAA
rnacentral:rRNA from 1 species